rnacentral:rRNA from 1 species
UACGUAGGGGGCAAGCGUUGUCCGGAAUCAUUGGGCGUAAAGAGCGCGUAGGCGGCCCGAUAAGUCCGCUGUGAAAGUCAAGGGCUUAACCCUUGAAUGCCGGUGGAAACUGUCGGGCUAGAGUCCGGAAGAGGCGAGUGGAAUUCCUGGUGUAGCGGUGAAAUGCGUAGAUAUCUGGAGGAACACCGGUGGCGAAGGCGGCAUCCUGGACCGGCAUUGACGCUGAGGCGCGAAAGCCAGGGGAGCAAACGGG